UUCAAACCCUCUUUCUCUCUAUUUUAUUUUAAAUCUAGAAUUUUUAUACAAUGCAACCCUUCAACCGCGGUUUUAUUCAUCCCCGUUCGAGUGCGGACCCGAACCAAAGUAGCAAAUCCUACCCGCCUCGUGUCUCCGGUUCCCACUCGACCCACCCCUUUCGGAUCCGGUUUUGUCGAUUUUAAUCAACAUAAUACCGGGUUCAUGAACCUUUUGAACCAACCACUCUCAUGGGCCCCGAAUCUAUACGGUUGGAACCCGAAUCAAACAUGGAUGGAAUGGGGUCAUCUCAAGCAUUCGGAUCAGCACAAGCAUUCGGCUCCCCACUACACGAGCUCGAGGUUGUUCCGGAAACACAACCGGAAGUAGAGGAGACGCAAAAAGGAAAAACAAAACGCCCACAUAAAAAGAAAACGAAAACCACCCGAGCAAAAAAAAAUGUAAUACCAUGGAAUAUCAUAUCGAAGAGGAGUAUGCGCUAACCCGAGCUUGGAUCGACGUGUCAGAGGACCCCGUAAUAGCAAACAAUCAAAGUAAAACCCUUUUUGGAACCGAAUUCGAGAACUUUUUUUUUGGGGCUCAUCGGUAGAGGAGACGAAUACCGGCCGGCGGACUCGAUAUCGGGCAAGUGGACCAACAUCAAAAAGAAGUGCACGAAUUUUCAAACCGUUUACCAACGCAAUUUUGCCGGAUGGAAAAGUUGAAGCGAGGACGAGGACAUUACACAAGCGGCCUUAAUCGAAUAUACACAAAGUCAAGGCAAUUUCCCGUACUUAAAGCGUUGACAAAUUUUUCGGAAUAGCCCCAAAUGGGCCAACAUCCCUACGACUACCGGUCGGUCGGCAAAUAAAAGGCCGUUAAAGAGAUAA